UGGGGAAUAUUGGACAAUGGGGGCAACCCUGAUCCAGCAAUGCCGCGUGUGUGAAGAAGGUCUUCGGAUUGUAAAGCACUUUCGACGGGGACGAUGAUGACGGUACCCGUAGAAGAAGCCCCGGCUAACUUCGUGCCAGCAGCCGCGGUAAUACGAAGGGGGCUAGCGUUGCUCGGAAUGACUGGGCGUAAAGGGCGUGUAGGCGGUUUACACAGUCAGAUGUGAAAUCCCCGGGCUUAACCUGGGAGCUGCAUUUGAUACGUGUAGACUAGAGUGUGAGAGAGGGUUGUGGAAUUCCCAGUGUAGAGGUGAAAUUCGUAGAUAUUGGGAAGAACACCGGUGGCGAAGGCGGCAACCUGGCUCAUGACUGACGCUGAGGCGCGAAAGCGUGGGGAGCAAACAGGAUUAGAUACCCUGGUAGUCCACGCUGUAAACGAUGUGUGCUAGAUGUUGGGUAACUUUGUUAUUCAGUGUCGCAGUUAACGCGUUAAGCACACCACCU
rnacentral:rRNA from 1 species